rnacentral:rRNA from 1 species
AGAGUUUGAUCAUGGCUCAGGACGAACGCUGGCGGCGUGCUUAACACAUGCAAGUCGAGCGGAAAGGCCCUUCGGGGUACUCGAGCGGCGAACGGGUGAGUAACACGUGAGUAACCUGCCCCAGACUUUGGGAUAACCCUCGGAAACGGGGGCUAAUACCGGAUAUGACACUCGGCCGCAUGGUGUGGGUGUGGAAAGUUUUUCGGUUUGGGAUGGGCUCGCGGCCUAUCAGCUUGUUGGUGGGGUGAUGGCCUACCAAGGCGACGACGGGUAGCCGGCCUGAGAGGGCGACCGGCCACACUGGGACUGAGACACGGCCCAGACUCCUACGGGAGGCAGCAGUGGGGAAUAUUGCACAAUGGGCGGAAGCCUGAUGCAGCGACGCCGCGUGAGGGAUGACGGCCUUCGGGUUGUAAACCUCUUUCAGCAGGGACGAAGCGUGAGUGACGGUACCUGCAGAAGAAGCGCCGGCCAACUACGUGCCAGCAGCCGCGGUAAGACGUAGGGCGCGAGCGUUGUCCGGAUUUAUUGGGCGUAAAGAGCUCGUAGGCGGCUUGUCGCGUCGUCCGUGAAAACCCACAGCUCAACUGUGGGCUUGCGGUCGAUACGGGCAGGCUCGAGUUCGGUAGGGGAGACUGGAAUUCCUGGUGUAGCGGUGAAAUGCGCAGAUAUCAGGAGGAACACCGGUGGCGAAGGCGGGUCUCUGGGCCGAUACUGACGCUGAGGAGCGAAAGCGUGGGGAGCGAACAGGAUUAGAUACCCUAGUAGUCC